UACGUAGGGUGCAAGCGUUGUCCGGAAUUAUUGGGCGUAAAGAGCUCGUAGGCGGUCUGUCGCGUCGGAUGUGAAAACCCAGGGCUCAACCCUGGGCCUGCAUUCGAUACGGGCAGACUAGAGUUCGGUAGGGGAGACUGGAAUUCCUGGUGUAGCGGUGAAAUGCGCAGAUACCAGGAGGAACACCGGUGGCGAAGGCGGGUCUCUGGGCCGAAACUGACACUGAGGAGCGAAAGCGUGGGUAGCAAACAGG
rnacentral:rRNA from 1 species